UACGAAGGGGGCUAGCGUUGCUCGGAUUGACUGGGCGUAAAGGGCGCGUAGGCGGUUCGUACAGUCAGACGUGAAAUUCCUGGGCUCAACCUGGGGGCUGCGUUUGAUACGUGCGGACUUGAGUGCGGAAGAGGGGUCGUGGAAAUUCCCAGUGUAGAGGUGAAAAUUCGUAGAUAUUGGGAAGAACACCGGGUGGCGAAGGCGGCGACCUGGUCCGAUACUGGACGCUGAGGCGCGAAAGCUAGGGGGAGCAAA
rnacentral:rRNA from 1 species